AAGUCGUAACAAGGUUUCCGUAGGUGAACCUGCGGAAGGAUCAUUAACUAUUUCGUUUUUUUUUUAUUAAAAAAAACCUUCCUGGGUAGUUAAAUUUUAAAAAAAAAAAAUGCAUAUAAAACUUGGGAACACUUUUUUUUCACUUUUUUUCAUAUAAAAAUAAAAUAACUAUUAACAAUGGAUCUCUUGGCUCUG
rnacentral:misc_RNA from 1 species